rnacentral:rRNA from 1 species
GUGGGGAAUCUUGCGCAAUGCGCGAAAGCGUGACGCAGCAACGCCGCGUGGGGGAAGACGGCCUUCGGGUUGUAAACCCCUUUCAGUUGGGACGAAGCUUCGUCGGUGAACAGCCGGUUGGAGUGACGGUACCUUCAGAAGAAGCCCCGGCUAACUACGUGCCAGCAGCCGCGGUAAUACGUAGGGGGCAAGCGUUGUCCGGAAUCAUUGGGCGUAAAGAGCGUGUAGGCGGUCCGGUAAGUCCGCUGUGAAAGUCCAGGGCUCAACCCUGGAAUGCCGGUGGAUACUGUCGGGCUAGAGUCCGGAAGAGGCGAGUGGAAUUCCUGGUGUAGCGGUGAAAUGCGCAGAUAUCAGGAGGAACACCGAUGGCGAAGGCAGCUCGCUGGGACGGUACUGACGCUGAGACGCGAAAGCGUGGGGAGCAAACAGGAUUAGAUACCCGAGUAGUCC